rnacentral:rRNA from 2 species
UACGUAGGGGGCAAGCGUUAUCCGGAAUCACUGGGCGUAAAGGGUGCGUAGGCGGCUUAGUAAGUCAGAGGUGAAAGGCUACGGCUUAACCGUAGUAAGCCUUUGAAACUGCUGAGCUUGAGUGCAGGAGAGGCAAGUGGAAUUCCUAGUGUAGCGGUGAAAUGCGUAGAUAUUAGGAGGAACACCAGUGGCGAAGGCGACUUGCUGGACUGUAACUGACGCUGAGGCACGAAAGCGUGGGGAGCAAACA